rnacentral:lncRNA from 1 species
CCAGAGGAAGAAAUCAUUAGAGAUGCAGCUGCUUACAUGCAAGAGCAUGUGCACGAAGCCUGGAUACACAGAUGCAUGUGUGCGAGAGAAGGUGUACGGGAUUAGAGAGCUCUGAAUGGCCUCAUAAUAGAAUCCCAGGGGAGGGCCGGAGGUCCCAGGCCAGCGAUGCUCACACGCCCAUCUCCUCCUGUCUGUGCCGCACAAAGCCUGACAAGGCCUCACUCAUGUUUCAAAGCGCUUUCUCUUUUCAGAGCUAUUUGUUAUUGUCUCUGCCAUCACAAGUUUAAAAAAGGAAAGUUAAUUAAAUAUGGAACAAGACUGAGCAACAUCUUUUAAACCAUCAUGUCAUUAGAACUGGAAUCCUUAGAGAGCUGCUUAAAAGGGG